AGUGACAGCUGGCAGUGGCAGUGACCACUGUUGGCAUCCAGGAUAAUCCAGCAUAGCCCUGUGACAUCAGGGCUAUUGCAGAACUGCAUUUUACCAAUUCACAAUUUUCAUCUGAAUUGAGCAAAAGAAUUGUAGACUGGCAAUAAUAAUGAUAAUAAUAAUAAUGAUAAUAAUAAUAAGUGGUCACUGAUUUAUUUAGCACACAGAAAAAUGGGCUGUAAGGUUUUCUAUCACAUGGAGACUCUGGUUGUGACCCAAGAUGUGACCUCACUUCCUUGGCAACAUCUCCAAAUAGAACUUAGAACCCUUGCUAACGGGCAUCACAAUCUAGUAACAGCCAUCUCCCGAGCUCACUUGGCCGGAGAUGGUCAACAGCGAACAUGCUGAGCUGCUUCUCCACUUCGAAACGCAGCCUCAUCAGGACCCCAGGCAGAAAGAGUAUCUGUGAAAGAUUAAGAAUAUGGCUGACUCCAUCCAGACCCUGCAGGCCACACUGGUGCAGCCGCAUGACUGCCACAGUCACCCCAGCGAAGGUCUCCCCGGGAGUGAGCACCAGUGACCUACCACAAUCAAGGUACCCCUAUGAAGUCCUCCUAGGACCAAAUACCAAUGGCACAGAAACUGGGAAGAGUGCAGGGCAUGCCACCUUCAUCUCAAUCAAAGCUGUGGCUACAGUGGAAGAGGAGGAAAUCUUACACAUACACAUAGGCCAACAAUGUCAUUUAUCACAUAAGCCAGAGGAUGUAAAGGAACACAAUCUAGAAUUAUGCAGGGCAGCAGAUGUAAGCCAAGCCUGACCCAGACAACGAGGUACAAGGGCUCACCAUGGGAAUAUAACAGUUUUCUCUCAGUGGGAGAGGAGGCUCAGAUCUGAAACUUCAGCCUUGCAUUCUAAUUAGUUUUUAUCUUAUCUCAUGCUCUUGCUCUUUUUUUUUUUCAGGCUGGGCAUAUCAAUAUUUAUUGAAAUAUUGAAAAAAAACCCCUCCAUUUUGUUGAGAAAUUCCUGGCAAGAACUGACCUGACAAUAUGUAUUUCACUGAUACAGUAAGAAAAUGUCAAUGUGUAACUGACUUCACACUCUAAACAUUGCUUGAUAUGUAAUAUAAAUAUCCAGACAUUACAGAUUGUCUGUUAACAAACAUAGACCAACUGUCACAAACCAAGCUAAGCCAAAAACCUUUAUGUUUCAUUCUGCUUUUACUAAUAAGUCCUAUGAUUGAUAAGGCAGUUGGCUAAGUCAAUGUCUGAUUACAAACUGGUUAAUGAUCCACAUCAGAGAAAUUCACUGGCCAAUUUUGGAAGGGGCACGGACAGCUGUAGCACUAUCUUGCUUAUCAGCUGCUGUCCUUGUUUUCACCAGCAGUGUGGAUGUGACUGUGUUGUGAACCACUCUCGGGGUGUAAGCCACCUGGUGAACAACAUACCAGUAUUGUACAUCUUUCAGGUUCAAAUUCAGUGAGGAGUAUUGUAUGUUUAAAGUAAGGAAACAUAGAUUUUUAAGACUCCACAGAUUUGGCAUUUUUGCGAUGUUAAAGAGCUUCCCAAUAACUAUUCUAAUCUCCAAAUUGCCUCCCUAUGCUACACACGUAACGGAGCCCUUUCAUUAGCCAUUGACUGCACCAUUCCUCUCCACCUGCCGUUAGCCAGCUUGGUCCUUAACUAAGGGAAGCAAUGCGGCUGCCAUUCUCGUAAUGCUUUGGAUCUGAGCUCUGAUCAGUGAGUUUUCAUUGCCCUUUGAGCCAUGAAGACAAAACAGGUGACCGAGACCCUGCACAAGUCAAUGCCCAGCUUGGCUAGGGUGUACCCUUCAUGUGGAUGAGCUUCAGAGGUGAUUAACAAAAAUAAUAAAAUAAUCUUUGUACACACUGAAGUAAUAACUCAUAUCUUUGGUAUACAACUUACAAUGCUUGAAAGGAAAACCAAGUAAGACUCCACCUUGUUAAAUUUACUUGAACAGAGGAAGCUACGAGUCAUAUAAUUUACAAUCGAUAUUAAAUAAGCUACAGUAAGAAUUAUAAUUAUGGAGCUUUACAGACAUUUAAUCAAGUGGAUGAUUUUAAUUCAUUAAGACCCUGCUAUGUCCCUGAACUAUGUUCCACUAACUUGAAGAUAUGCUACAGUAAACACAUAUAUUUGGUUUCUUCAGUCUUGGCUAUCUCUUAUACAAAGGUGAAACCAAGGUACAAUAAAUUAGCAUCAUAAUUGUCUACAGUUGAAACUAUGAUAUACAAUAUAAAUAAACUAUUCAAAAGCCAGAAACAUUUAUGAAAAAAAUUAAGGGGUAGGAGAUAGUUUUAUUUUUUACAGUUUCUACAAGUGAUUGUGCUGCUGAUCAUCUCAAAAAAUUAAAGUCUAAAUGAGAUUCCUGUUUUUGAUUUUGAUUUUCUCUCAUAGUCUUCAGGAGGCAAGGCAGCAUGGUUCAGAGGUAGGCCUUUGGAGGCAGAGUGGAUGUUCUGAAUUGCAGAGGAGAUGGUCAGGUCGGAGGGCAUUGCUUGGAUCACCUGAGACAUGGCUUCUAGCUUAAGUCCAUUGGCUCGGGUGAGAGCUUUUUGCUGUUGCUUCAGGGCCCUGUCUCUCUUAUACAUUGGCCCAAACUUAUUCCUUCCUCCACUCAUUCGGUCAGCUCUUACCGCUUCUAGUUUCAUUCCAAUACGCAGACAUUUUUGAAAUUGACAAUAAGGACAACGUUUUUCUCUCAAUGUUUUGUCAAUUUGGCAAUUCUGGUUUUCUAUACAUUGAAGGACCCUAGUUAGCAAGACAGACUCCAUAUUGCUGCUGAACAACCCACCUGCCUGCCCUUUAGAUGAACUCAAAAGGAGGAAGCUUAGAAACCUCCUCCCCUUAGAGAGUCUCUUAGAAACAACAAUCAACUAUUGUUUUACAAAUGUUCUAACAGGACAUUCGGCGGCUUCUGUACCUUUUGCUUGCUUUACUAGUUCUAUCCCAUAGGGGGGCCUAGAAACUGUUGGCCUCAAAGGUGUAUAAAAUAUGUUUGUCUCCCCCAGUCGGGGCUCCAGUCUGAUGCUGGGCUCGUCCCGGCCGGUAAUAAACUCCUGUGUGGCUUUAAUAUCGGUCUCUGGUUGGUUCUUUCUCACUGGGUGCAACAUACAUGUGUACCUUUUAUUAUUUUGAACUGUUCGCUUAAAAAAUCCCUUGCAGCUUUCACAGGUGCGGAGCCCAUAAUGGUACCCAGACACUUUGUCGCCACACACGGGACAAAGCUCUUCAAGAUCUUCAUCCUAGGAGUAAUUCAUCAUUUUAAAUUGAGACACUGGCAUGUUUUCCGGCAUCGGCCCCUGCUCCCCAUGCGAUCGAGCCGGUCCCAGGGCUUCCGUGUUCACUGUGGGGGUCAUGACCAGGCGGCCGCGCGUGGGACUGGGGGGUCGGGGUCGGUCCGGGAGCCCAGCAUCUAGACGCGGGCAGACAGCUCAGCUCCGGAAGAGGGAGGGAAGAAGCGCCGGGUGCCCGCUCCCCUGCCGCUUGC
rnacentral:lncRNA from 1 species